GAUGAACGCUAGCGGCAGGCUUAAUACAUGCAAGUCGAGGGGCAGCGCAGUGUAGCAAUACAUGGGCGGCGACCGGCAAACGGGUGCGGAACACGUACGCAACCUUCCUUUAAGUGGGGGAUAGCCCAGGGAAACUUGGAUUAGUACCCCGUAAUAUUAUGAAGUGGCAUCACUUUAUACUUAUAGCUCCGGCGCUUAAAGAUGGGCGUGCGACUGAUUAGGUAGUUGGCGGGGUAACGGCCCACCAAGCCUGCGAUCAGUAACUGGUGUGGGAUCACGACCAGUCACACGGGCACUGGGACACGGGCCCGACUCCUACGGGAGGCAGCAGUAAGGAAUAUUGGUCAAUGACGCAAGUCUGAACCAGCCAUGCCGCGUGGAGGAUGAAGGUCCUCUGGAUUGUAAACUUCUUUUAUUUGGGAAGAAACCCACUGUUUCUACGGUGGUUGACGGUACCAGAUGAAUAAGCACCGGCUAACUCCGUGCCAGCCGCCGCAGUAA
rnacentral:rRNA from 1 species